UACGUAGGGGGCUAGCGUUGUCCGGAAUCAUGGGGCGUAAAGGGCGCGUGGGCGGCCAGUUAAGUCGGGGGUGAAAGUCACAGGCUCAACCUGUGAAUGCCGCUGGAAACUGUCUGGCUAGAGUCCGGAAGGGGCGAGUGGAAUUCCUGGUGUAGCGGUGAAAUGCGCAGAUAUCAGGAGGAACACCGGUGGCGAAGGCGGGUCUCUGGGCAGUAACUGACGCUGAGGAGCGAAAGCGUGGGGAGCGAACAGG
rnacentral:rRNA from 1 species